UUCGCGGGAGGGGACAGCUCCUCCCAGACGGAAGCCGCGAGCCCUUUUCCGCAACACCGACUCGGCGCGCUGUCGUCCUACGAGUCCCGGGCAGUUUCAGUGGAAGAAUUACUUUGCUGCUGACGUUGAGAAAGAGCACAUGGCAGGUAGACACAAUACUGGCUCUCCAAAUUACCCCCAAAUAAAUAAACAGAAGGCCACAGGCACCCGAGGGAUAUAUAGGGAAGAGAAAAAGGCGAGGGUGAGGUCACAGCUGCGGCCAGGAAGGGGGGAGCCGUCGGGGGAGAUGCGCUCUCGUUCCCUCUCCAGGUCAUUCAGCAUUUGCAAGCCGUAAAUGAAAUCAUCCCAAUUUGUUUUCUCGUGAAAAUGUCAGCUUGGGCGCUUAGAGGGAGUAAUUCUUUUCUUAUGGCCCGAAAAAAGAAACGCUUUUUAUUUUGUUGCCCUCGAGACAAAAGAGGCUUUUUGUUCCCGUUCCAUGUUUCCAGAUUGCUGGUGUUCCUCAGAUUCACGUACUCGGAGGGUGGCCAUAAAUUUUCAGGUGGAGCAAUGAGAUGCUGACACGCGUGUCUGCUUUAAGCCAGAGCUGUCACCAGCAACCUGCCAGGAUGGGCUUCUUGGCUUCCCCUGCGCCUGCUCCCCAGCUCCUGCAUCGGUGUGCAACGCAAUGUUGGCGAGAGUUGCUUCCACCUCACCGUCGCUGGAAGCUGCCUUGCAGAGCGGAUGCUGCGAGAGGAGCAAAGGAAAGUCUCCCCUGAAUUGGCCUCGAAGCGCAGGGAGACUAGAAAGUGGGAGAGACCGCAGUUAAAAAAGUGCCACAUGCAAGGAGGUAGGUGAUCUCCGAUGUAACCUUCGCACAUCUGCUUCGCCUUUGCGGUUUGGUGGCGGCCCGGGUGCUGAUGCUGGGGUCUGCAUGUCGUAACUACUCAGUAUUGUCUCCAUCAGAAAACAAGCCCUUCCCACCCUACUGUCUUCUUUGGGCUCUGUCCUUCCUGCUGUGAGUCAAGAAAAGCGGGAGGCUUCUAGGGACUGCUUGCUACUGGCCUGGAAUGUGCAAUUGCAUUGGAGAUGAACAGUCAUGGUAACCUUUCAAACUUGAUAACAGCUCCCCCCCAGUUCGGGCGCCUUGCCCCCUCUCACCAGGGUGGCAUUUUGAUAACUUCAUUCCAGGUGGUCCACUCACUUCUUUCCACUUAGAGGCCUAUCAGGGACCAUGUGGGAUGGGUUCUUACCUGGAGGGAUGGGGGAGUGAGUUGCAGCUGUGACCUCUGCGCCCAAUUCAACGAUAUUUGUCGCAGGUGGGGCCUCUGGCUAAUCCUGUCUUGUUUUCAUGGUCUCCUG
rnacentral:lncRNA from 1 species